AUUUAAAUAGUUUAAUAUAAAAUAUUGAUUUGUGGGAUCAAUGAUGUAAUUUUUUUUACUUUAGAUA
rnacentral:tRNA from 1 species